AGUUAGGGAGUGGCAAAGGUAUAUGCGGCCAACCCCGCCAGGUCCGGAAGGAAGCAACGGUAACUGUCACUGCUUUGUGCCAUUUUCCUAACUGCC
rnacentral:SRP_RNA from 1 species